AUUGAACGCUGGCGGCAUGCCUUACACAUGCAAGUCGAACGGCAGCGCGGGGCAACCUGGCGGCGAGUGGCGAACGGGUGAGUAACAUAUCGGAACAUACCCUAGAGUGGGGGAUAACGUAGCGAAAGUUACGCUAAUACCGCAUACGCACUAAGGUGGAAAGUGGGGGAUCUUCGGACCUCAUGCUCAUGGAGUGGCCGAUAUCUGAUUAGCUAGUUGGUGAGGUAAAGGCUCACCAAGGCGACGAUCAGUAGCUGGUUUGAGAGAACGACCAGCCACACUGGAACUGAGACACGGUCCAGACUCCUACGGGAGGCAGCAGUGGGGAAUUUUGGACAAUGGGGGCAACCCUGAUCCAGCAAUGCCGCGUGAGUGAAGAAGCU
rnacentral:rRNA from 1 species